rnacentral:lncRNA from 1 species
AGCAUAUUAGAACUGAUCUCAUGAUUGCAGAUUCAUUAACGAAAGGUUUACAACCAAAGAUAUUUAAAGAACAUGUACAUAUAAUGGGUCUUGGCUGUAUUUAUGACUGAUGUAUUUAUGAUGUUUUGACACUCUGAGCUCAUUUAUAUGUUUCUGAUAUACAUUAGUGAUUUCUUGUUUCUCAUAAUGGUGUACACAUUAUUGUUUUGAGAUAUUACAGGAUAAGUCUCAAUGAGAUAUUAUUGUGGACCAUAAUAUUUUAUAGCUUAUGGACCUGGUACAAUGAGUUGCUAAUGUUGUGGUAUAUGGAAGGGAGUAUGUAGACAAAUUAUAUAUAACCGCCAUAACUCACAUUUAGUAGUUUAUCGUAUUAUGGUAUUUAUGAUGGACAUUAUAGAAGAGAUUUGUUUAUGCGCAACUAAUGUUCCUAUAGUAAAUAUUAAUAUUAUGUGAUUAUUGGGCCAAGUGGGAGAAUGUAAAUUAUUUUCCUAUGUAUGUGUGACCCAAUAGGUCUAAGGCCCAUAAUUAAUAUUUAAUUAAUUAUCAAAUCUCAUUCGUCCAAUCGGUUACUUGAUGGACGUACCGGAUUAAGUGAGAACCUAUAUAAAUUGGUCUUCUCCCCACCCAUUAGGGUUACCGUAUUUUUAUUUUCUCUUCCAUCUGUAAAGGCGGCGGUAACAAAAAGUUAGGGCAAGGGGCGAGAAACCAGUUUUUGAAUUAACGCUUCCGCUUCAAGAUAAUGGAUUCCGCUUCAGGUAUAUUUUCUAUGGCAAUUACAUGUAAGAUUAUCAUGUUCAAGAUCCUGGUAUGAAUUAAAGUUUAUGCUUACAAAACUUUGAAGGAAAUUGAUAGACCCUGAGCAGAGACUGCAAAGAUAGGAAAAAUUAAAAGAAACAACAAGAAUUAGAAGCUGUUGAGAUUGGUCUGAUCUCUGAGAUUAUACUGUAUAUAUAAUGGGGCGGUGCGGGGCGGGGUUAGACAUACAAGCGGGGCGGGCGGGUUUAUACACAUGCGGGUAUGGGGCGGUGCAAGGCGGGUUAAAAUAAAAGAAAUUUAAUUUUUGCGGGUGCGAGUAUGAGUUUAAAUUUUUACGACAUUACAGUUUUUCAAGUUCUUGUGGUUGUUGUUAUGGAAUUUAUUUCACAUUUCCUUCAUCUGUGAUGGAUGAACUAAUAGGAUCUUACUAUUAUAAACAAAAUGCUUUAAUUUUUUUUGACAAAUUAACCAUUUAGUAAAUAGCUUUUGUAAUUUGUUGUUACUAUCUACCUUCUGCACAGGUUUUGGAAGUUAUAGAAUUGGUAUAUCGAGUGUCAGUUUUGGAAUUGAACGCAUCCCAGUGGAAAACUUUUAGCUUAAACUUUUUAUUGUACUCGAUAAUUAUGGAAAGAUUGGCUUUUUUGCCGUACUGCAUGCUUCAUAUGUUGCUAUUGCAUAUUUCUUUUCAUUAUAAAAUUAUACUUUUUUAAAAUAUAAUCGGUGAAAAAACUAGAUAUUUGACAUUUGAAGAUAAAAAAUCUAAAAUUUGAUCGAAGAAUUUCUCAUGUUAGCCCUCAUUUUUAUAACCCGAAAUAAAAUGAGAUUGACAAUGACAUUUAAUUAAUAAGCAAAAAUAAAAAUAAGACAAAUUGAAAAGAAAAAAAGAAUUGCGGGGCGGGACGGGGAAGGUGGAUGCAGGGCGGAGCGGGUGAAUGUAAGCUAAAAUUAGAGCUAUACGGGGUGGGGCGGGGCGGGGUGGGGCGGGUGGACGCGGAUGUGAUGCGAGACGGGGCGGGUUAAAAGAGCUAUGCAGAGCAGGGCAAGUGGAUGCGGGUGCGAUGCAGGGCAGGUGGAUACGGGUUAAAAGAGCUAUGUGGGACGGGACGGGUGAAAGCGGGGUACGAUGCGGGGCAGGUGGAUGCGAGUUAAAAAAGCUAUGCGAGACAAGGCGAGACGGAUUAAAAUUUUGCGGGUUAAGAUAGAACUCACCCCGUACAUCGCUUGCCAUCCCUUGUACAACUUUACAAUUAUUAGGUACAGAAGUCCAACUGCAGUUUAAUAAAAACAUAACCAUUAUCCAAAGAAGAGAAUGAAAGUGUUUGACUUGACAUAAAGUUUAAAAAGGAAUAAAGACUUUUGAAAUUUGUAGUUACGUAAUAAGCUAUAGAUAUUUGUAUGACUUUAAUUAUGGAUAAUAUCAAAAGUUAAAACUUAAAUUAUUUUUAAAUAAGGAGAUAUGACAUUUUUUUUAGAGCAGCAAAAAAAUGAAAAGUAUGCUACAUAAAUUAAGAAAAAAAUAGUAGCAUUGAUUAAUCAAAAGAAAAGAGAAUUAAUUCAUUCAUGCUAGAGAGAGAGGAGAAACGUGUUCAAAUCUGCUCUUCAACACUGGACAUAUUCCUCAGAUCUGGGAGGAAAUUUAAGGCUGAGAAAUUUGAUAGUAUGUUGGUAACUGCGGUUCCAAAACUGUAACGACAAUCAAACCUUUUUAUAACAAUCUUAUUUGUUUCGAUAUUUUUUGACUGCUAUAAAGAAGUGUUACAUUGUUAUAAAAGACAUAGACUUAUCACAUAAUAUAAAAAUUAGUUCCGAAAAAAACUUAAUUUUUAUAGUGAAUAACUAUUAUACAUAGGGAUGUUGUUAUAGAGAGGUCUGACUGUAUCCAUUUUCAGUUUACAGUGUGUAGAGUCGGAUCUUAAUUUUAAAUUAAAUUCUUACAAAAUCGAUUGCACAUUUGAAACAUGAGUUCAAAGUAAGAAAAAAAAAAUUAUAUUCAGUUGAACUCAUUGAGUAAGGCUCAGAAUAUGUGGUAGUAAAGUGUAAUAGACACCAAAUAUAAUGUAAAACAACAAAUGAAUUAUCAUAUAAUUAAGCCAAAAGAAAAACGAAAAAUCUAAAAAAUGUGUGUGUAUACCAGGCCAAUUAUAAGAGUACUACGCUAAAUAAAAAAGACAGUAGUAAAUAGUACUACCAAUUUUGAGACCUCAGUCACCAACAGACUACCAUCUUCUUCUUCUUCAAUUCUUCUUUUAAUCUCUUUUCAAACUUUAACUUGUAUUCAUUUAUCUCAAAAUCUGAUACCUUUUAUUGAAUACAAAAUGUUAGAGGUACAGUCUUUAAUCUAAAACAGAAAGUACGUACUUACAUGGUUUGAUUAUAUUGUACUACUGGUACGUCUAGCUAUAUCACCUCCUCAUGAGAAGCACAGUCAUCCGUUUUCGAAUAGAAAAUUUUCUCUCUUCAAAACAAUGACUUAAAAGAGGAAUUA